UGACUUCCUUGAUGAUAUGAGUUUUCCGUAAAUCAACAGUCCGACAUAUACUCAAAGGGAAAGAGUAAGGCUGUUUUUGCAGACGAAAAUGAUUUUAAGGGAAUUUAUCAAAAUUCUACAGACCGCAUUUAACUUCAAUUGAUGUAAUUGAACUUUAUUUAAUUUCAAAUAAUGAUAUGAAAUACUUAAAUAAAAAAUCGGGCAUCUUAUCAAAAUAUUUAGGACAAUAAUGCUUUGAAACCUCUAAGAAAUAAAACCUCAAAAAGUACCAAAGAAAAGAUGGAAUAACAUUGUGGAAAAAGACUAGAGAAAUUUGGGAUAGUCGAAAACCGGAUGGGGGAUUUUUCAAGCAGGUGACACAGUGUGUAAUUGUGACGAUAAAAUCUCUAAGAAAAUAAAGUUAAAAAUACGCCAGUAUAGAUAAAUAAGAAAAGAUAACUGAAUGAUAUACAAAAAAAAAAAAAAAAAUGAUUUUUACCUCGACAUUUUUAAAACUAGUAAUUGUUUUCUUUAAUGAAUAAGUCCAAACCCUUAAAACCUAUUGGUUUAGAAAACUACACUAUUAGUAUUAU